rnacentral:rRNA from 1 species
UACGAAGGGGGCUAGCGUUGCUCGGAAUCACUGGGCGUAAAGGGUGCGUAGGCGGGUCUUUAAGUUCGGUGUGAAAUCUCCUGGCUUAACUGGGAGGGUGCGCCGGAAACUGGAGGGCUUGAGUAUGGGAGAGGAAGGCGGAAUUCCUGGUGUAGCGGUGAAAUGCGUAGAUAUCAGGAGGAACACCUGCGGUGUAGACAGCUUUCUGGACCAUUACUGACGCUGAGACACGAAAGCGUGGGUAGCAAACAGG